AGCAGCCGCGGUAAUUCCAGCUCCAAUAGCGUAUAUUAAAGUUGUUGCAGUUAAAAAGCUCGUAGUUGAAUUUCGAGACCGGCUUACUGGUCGUGCUAUUGUACGUACUGGUAUAAUCGGUUUCUCCUUUCUGACGAACUAUAAUGCCAUUAAUUUGGUGUUAUAGGGAAUCAGGACUGUUACUUUGAAAAAAUUAGAGUGUUUAAAGCAGGCUCACGCUUGAAUACAUUAGCAUGGAAUAACGGAAUAGGACGUUUGAUUCUAUUUUGUUGGUUUCUAGGAUCGACGUAAUGAUUAAUAGGGAUAGUUGGGGGCAUUAGUAUUCAAUUGUCAGAGGUGAAAUUCUUGGAUUUAUUGAAGACUAACUACUGCGAAAGCAUUUUGCCAAGGAUGUUUUCAUUAAUCAAGAACGAAAGUUAGGGAUCGAAGACGAUCAGAUACCGUCGUAGUCUUAACCAUAAACUAUGCCGACUAGGGAUCGGAUGAUGUUAAUUUUUUAAUGACUCAUUCGGCGCCUUAC
rnacentral:rRNA from 1 species